rnacentral:lncRNA from 10 species
GCUCUCCAAAGGUCCCAGUCUUUGGCUUGACUGCCCAUGUUGAGUGUGGGUUUUUAGAAUUCUGUGGAGAAUCUGUCCUCUCAGAUGCCUCCAAGACUGCUGGGCAGCUUAGACUCACUAGGACUGGUGAGUUAGUUAGUGAUGGCCAAUAAGGUAGGCUCUUCAAGAGCUGCAGGGGCUGUGUGUUCCCAGUUCAGGGCAAAGUCCAGAGGAGGCACUCAGUUAAUCCUCGUUGAGCUCAACUCUAACCUUCUCUUCCAUAGAUGGGGUGUCCCCAACUUCUUGACACCAUCUUCUCAGGUACUUCUCAUAAUCAUGUUAGCUCUUUACAUUCUUCCAAAGUGAGUAAUCCAUACACAGCAAGAUUCUCUAUUGGAAGUAUGACUAAUGCUUAGGGCACUAACUUUUGUUGCUUCUAAAUUUUGUCUUCCAUUUAUAUAUCUGCAAUGAUCUGGCUUCACUUAGUUUAUUUAAAACUUUCCAUGCUGCUUUAGAGAAUGUAGUUCUUGAGGUUUUCUGGCUUAUACUGUUUCUUCUUCCCCCAGGCCUGUGGAUGCCCUGGUAGAAUUAGAGCCAGCAGGGCUGGCAAAGGCUGUAAACCAUGCAUUAUUCUCCCCUUAAUGUUAUGGAUGCGGCACAUCCAUGGAGCAGGGAGGAGACAUUCAGAGAGUCUGAAGGGAAGAUGCAAGAUGCCCUCUUCCCAGAAGUGCAGCUGCAAAGUGCAGCCUUCUUGCUUGUCGCACAUAUGAGCACGAUGCUAGUGUAAAACUAAGAAUGAAGGUUAGGGCCCCCACCCUAAAAUACCCAAAAGGUUAAAGCAGGGAGCCCACAUUUGUCUUCUCUGACAGUGUUCUGCAGCUAUGAAAUUCUGCCUGCUAAAGCUGGAUGGAUGCAGGCCUUGGCAUGAAGUCCUCUGCUCUGUCAAAAGCCAAAACCUUCCAUGAGAAGGAAUGUACUCAGGAUUUUAAGAUAAAUCGGAGAAUGUCUGAGAUGGAUAGUUACAGAUGGCCUUAGCAGUUGCUACAUCUCCAGGAACUGGGUAUUAGUUACAAGACUCACUGCUCCUAUUCUUUUCUAUUCUUUUAUUCUUCGUUUUGUUUUUUUUUGUAAAACAAACAAAAAACUCAUACAAUCCUUGAACCACGGGAUGUUAAGAUUCGAAGGAACACUUAGAUUAUCUAGUUCAGUCCCCUUGUUUACAAGUAGGAAAAGAGGGUCAACUACACAUUAAAUGUAGUGCAAGUCUCCCAAUUCCUGGUCUGUAAGAGAACUAGCAGGUAUCAGUGGACAUAUUCUGCUUGCGUCGGCUGCUCAGGACAGUCACCGGGGACAUAAUGUGGAAGCCCGAGGUUCUCAAUCUCAUGAUGUAUAAAUGUACUGAAAUACUGAGAUGCCAAAAAGGGGAAUACAUAUGUUUCUUUUCACAGAUGCUUAGAAGACAGGGCUAAAUUUUUCAUUUAGAUGUUAUGUGGUGCCUUCUUUUGUUCACCCUGUCAAGCGUAGGCUGGGGUGAUAGGAGCCUCCAGCUGCAGGAGGCUAAUCUGAGAUAACUUUAUUGAAGUAACACGGGGCUCCAGGAAAAUGAGUCUUCCGGGUCCGCAGCUGUGCUGCAGAAUUCAUCCUGAAAUGAGCACUCGCAUGCAGCCAAAGUCACUUCCAGAAUGGAAUGAAUGGGCUUUUGGGAAAAGCUGG